rnacentral:lncRNA from 1 species
GGGCUGCUGUCUAUGGGGUCGCACAGAGUUGGACACAACUGAAGCGACUUAGCAACAGCAACAAACUGUUAAACUAUAUUUUUAUCCUUGUAUCCUGAGAAAUCUACCUUUAUCAAGCAAGUUUUUUUUUUAAUUUAAUUGAAUGAUAAUUACUUUACAAUGUUGUGUGAGUUUCUGUUGUACAAUGACAUGAAUCAGCCUUAUGUAUACAUAUAUCCCCUCCCUCUUGAGUUUUCCUCCAACCCCACCCCUUCAUCCCGCCCCUCUAGGUUAACACAGAGCACCAGACGGAGGUUCUUGUGUCAUAUAGCAAGUUUCCACUAGCUAUAUGUUUUACACAUAUACACAUGUGUGCAUUUCAGUGCGACUCUCUGAAUUCAUCCUACCCUCUCCUUCCCCCACUGUGUCCACAAGUCUCUUCUCUACAUUUGCAUCUCUAUUCCCAUGGACAGAUGAGUGGAUAAAGAAGUUGGGAUGGAAAGUAAACACCUGGGAACUUUUCAGCUCAACAUAUUUGCGGCCCUGAGACUGCCAAGAUUCUUCACUGUGAAAGUUCUCCAAGGAUUAGCCUAUUCCUGUUCUCCCUGUUCCACACAUAAAUAUUAAUUACCCCUAAAUACAGCCCAUUUACUAGCAUCAGUCAUGAAAAAUUUAAAAUGCCAAGCGAGUGUGAGAGAAACUUGACUGUAAAUAAUUGUUACAUUGUUCUGUUUGUUCUCAGCAUUGGUAGUUAGGAGUUUGUGAGAAAGGGGAAGCUGUGAGCAUGCAUGGCCUGUGGAUGAUAAUUACAAAAUGCCAGAAGGAGAGUCUUGAAUUUUUUAAAGAGGCUUUAAUGACUCCCAGGACAUUGAGGCAGAGCAGCAUGGAUCUUGUUGAGGAAAAAAAAAGUCAGUGUUACAGAAAAUUCAUUGCCUGGUUAGAAUGCAGAGAGGGGAUGGAUACUAAACAUUCCAUCUGAACUGUUCAGGUGGCCAAUGGGGAAUUUAGUUUUAUGAAAUGUGGUUUUGUCAUCUUUCAACCUGGCAGAAUGGUAACUCAAAGGGUGGAGGAGAAAUGGAGGUGCAGAAUUAUAUUAUUUAAAUGGUAUUUAUAAAGACCACUGAGAUAUUUCAUCCUUCUUUCUCUGAGGAAAAAGGUACAAAAAUGAUGUCCUAAAGGCAUAUGAGAUCAGUUGGAAUAAGUUAAGUGGCAAAGACAAUAAUAAUGUAACAGAGAAAUAUAACCUGUAUUAUUUAAAUUAUUCAAAGGAUGCUAAAAUUGUUACUAAGGUCACUAUGAUGCAUAAUGAUAAUGUGUGGUAUGUUAAACCUAUAUGGUCUUUAAAAUAUAAAUUUUCUGAUAUAAAAGUAAUAAAAAUACUGUGGAAAUUUUGGAAAAGAUACA